UCUGUAACCAUACUUGACUGCAGCUCGUGCAGCAGCACACCGCCACAAACUCCAGCUGUCUUCUGUGAGAAUGCCAGACUCUAACGAAGCUGUGCCAGCAUCGUGCCAGGUUAUAAAAGAUGACGUUGACAAAUGUGUCAGAGAGAAAGGAGCAGAGAACUGUAAAGAUCUGAUAGAUGCCUUCCAGGCCUGUAUAAAAACCCUGUCUGAGGGAGCAUAAUACAUAAGGAAAUACAUCUUAAUAAAAUCUUAACCAGCAUUCCCUUCCUUGCUUAUUGCAUUGGAUCGAACCAUCUGAGAAACUGAAGAGGGGGUGAUGAGACUGCGCUUCUUAUACAUGUGUCAAUGUGAAACUUUUUAUUUCAUAAAUGUUAUAACUCCAUUAUGGACUGUACUGUAACACUGAUUAUGUAUGCAAUGUACAAGUUUUAUGCACAAAAAUACAAAAUACAAUAAAUAUGACUCCAUUUAUUUGGUAUUCACAGA